UAGUCCUAGCCGUAAACGAUGGGCACUAGGCAAUGGGUUUACCUAUGAGAUUCAUUGCCGCAGCUAAUGUGUUAAGUGCCCCGCCUGGGGAGUACGCUCGCAAGGGUAAAACUCAAAGGAAUUGACGGGGGAUCACACAAGCAGUGGAGCAUGUUGUUUAAUUCGAAGCAACGCGAAGAACCUUACCAGGCCUUGACAUGCAUGGAUUAGCUUCCUGAAAGGGAAGUGACGCCUCUUCGGAGGUGGAACAUGUGCAGGUGUUGCAUGGCUGUCGUCAGCUCGUGCCGUGAGAUGUUGGGUUAAGUCCCGCAACGAGCGCAACCCUCGUCCUGUGUUGCCAGCAAGUUAUGUUGGGGACUCGCAGGAGACUGCCGGGGUCAACUCGGAGGAAGGUGGGGGUGACGUCAAGUCCUCAUGGCCUUUAUGUCUAGGGCUGCACACGUCCUACAAUGCAGCGUACAAAGCGAUGCAAACUCGCGAGAGUAAGCAAACCG
rnacentral:rRNA from 1 species